rnacentral:antisense_RNA from 1 species
CUGCUGACAGCGUGCUUCGGUUAAGGUUAGGCACACCAAACCUCGUGCGUGCGUGAUCAUAAAGUUGAUCGCUUCAGGCGUGAUAUGAUUUGCCGCCAUGAUAA